rnacentral:tRNA from 1 species
GGGCAAUUAGCUCAGUGGUAGAGCGUUUCGUUGACAUCGAAAAGGUCACAGGUUCGAUCCCUGUAUUGCCCA